GACGUAGGUGGCGAACGUUAUCCGGAAUUAUUGGGCGUAAAGAGCUCGUAGGCGGUUUGUCGCGUCUGCCGUGAAAGUCCGGGGCUCAACUCCGGAUCUGCGGUGGGUACGGGCAGACUAGAGUGAUGUAGGGGAGACUGGAAUUCCUGGUGUAGCGGUGAAAUGCGCAGAUAUCAGGAGGAACACCGAUGGCGAAGGCAGGUCUCUGGGCAUUAACUGACGCUGAGGAGCGAAAGCAUGGGGAGCGAACAGG
rnacentral:rRNA from 1 species